AAAAGCAAAAAAGUGAAAAUUUUGCAGAGUAGUGCAAAUAGAUGAAAAAUGAAGAGUAUUUUUGUGGCAGAACAGCUCUUGUUGCUUUCCGGGGCAUGCCUGCUGAUCCUUGUGUGCUCUCGAUGUUAGUUGCCUAUCACAACGCUUCAUCGUCAUUGCAGAAGUCGGCGAAAUUUUACCAACAAUCGAUUGGAAGAAACCUUUCGGGUAAUCCGGCAAAAUGGCUGUGAAACAUGCCUUCGUUUGCGGAACAAUCAAAAAUUUCACUCAAAGAUUUUGUAAGAACCUGUAAUUCAUUGAAGAAUUUAAAGGAAAGCAAUGGCACGGCAUGACCAGACCCUUCGUAAUCCGGAUACGAAUGGAAACGAGUGUAAAACCUCCAACAAGAAAAAUAGUGUCCGCAAUUACACCAUGAACACUCUUCGAUGGCCUGUGAGCUGAAAAAUCCAAGGGUCAACUUCAGUUGAAACUCUGGAAAAACGAUAUGUUGGCUGCCUAGUGUAUUAUUAGAAUCGAUGGCAAGGUAAUCCUUAAUACAAAUAAAUAUUAUACUAUAUUUUAA